rnacentral:rRNA from 1 species
GAGUUUGAUCCUGGCUCAGAUUGAACGCUGGCGGCAGGCCUAACACAUGCAAGUCGAGCGGUGACAGAGAGUAGCUUGCUACUCUGCUGACGAGCGGCGGACGGGUGAGUAAUGCUUGGGAAUGUACCUUAUGGUGGGACAACAGUUGGAGAAGAAGCACCGGCUAACUCCGUGCCAGCAGCCGCGGUAAUACGGAGGGUGCGAGCGUUAAUCGGAAUUACUGGGCGUAAAGCGUACGCAGGCGGUUUGUUAAGCGAGAUGUGAAAGCCCCGGGCUCAACCUGGGAACUGCAUUUCGAACUGGCAAACUAGAGUGUGAUAGAGGGUGGUAGAAUUUCAGGUGUAGCGGUGAAAUGCGUAGAGAUCUGAAGGAAUACCGAUGGCGAAGGCAGCCACCUGGGUCACCACUGACGCUCAUGUACGAAAGCGUGGGGAGCAAACAGGAUUAGAUACCCUGGUAGUC